ensembl:lncRNA
GGACUCUGGCUGGAAUUAUCAAGUAAGAGUUGCACUUGUCUUUAGGAGCUUAGAUAUCAAGAAACUUAAACCCUGAGUUGUCAGUGGCCCUGUUGGUGGAGAGGAUCUGCCUUCAAUGUACAGCAAUCCAGAGGAAAGCUGAGUCACCAGAUGGUGAGAAAGUCCUUUUGAGAUCUAGCCAUGCCAGGAACAACUGACCUUAGCCUUGCCUUUUAAAUGAGUCAAUAAGACCCCCUUUUGUUGUUGUUGUGUUGUUGUUGUUUAAGCUCAAUGAGUUGGAAUCCAAAUUAAUAUACAGAACUGCCUGAAGGAUCCUUUGGAGGGUGGGGUAUGACCUCCUGCAGACUUGCCUGGGCCCUUGGAACUGAGUGAUUCUUGACCAUGAUUAAGAGUGGGACUGCUGAACUGAUGAGAUGACCUGUGUAUGUGGCCGGGGCUUGUUAACUUUGAGCUCUACUUCAGGGCAUCCAGACUCUGAAACCCAUUAAGGAAGAAACUGCAUCUGUCUUGCUCACCAUUGUUCACCUAGCAUAGCACCUGUCACAAGUCAGCUGUAUUACAGAUAACUGGUGACAGUGUUCUGGAGGGAAGACCGCACUGCUCCAUUUGAACACCUCGUCGACUCACUCACUGGUUUGAAAUAUGUCAACACUCAGAGAAUGAAAACAAGAGAUAUGAAAAUAAGUUCACCAGCUGCAGCCCUUCUGAAGCUUACUUCUGCAAGCAAACUCCAAGGACAUUUUUCCAGUAACCACUCCUGGAGGGAUGUUCCCAACUCCUGCGCCAGAAUCCAUCGAAGAAGCGUUUGUCUCCAGCAAUAUUAAUGCGCCCCAUUUCCCGACUCUCUCACAUUUGAUUCAGUUCACCAAAUGUGUGAUGAAGACAGACAUGUGAAGAAUAGCUAUGGGACUGCUAAAAGGAGUAAAAAGUAUGACAAUCCAAGAGACAAACCCAAGUAGAAAGAAAUAAAUUACAACUAAAGGUGCAAACAAUAGACUGAAAUGGAACAGAACAAGGACUUCUAAUUGGGGGAGUUAAACAAGACUUCAUAUGUUGUGGACAUUUGUACCUCCAGGCUUUGAUUAGCACCCAUGUAGGCACAAACGAACAAACAUGCAGAAAUUCAGAGCUAAUGGACUGCAUCCACACUGAGUUAAAUCAGGCUAAAGAUUAAUGAAAAAUUCAGUCAUCCUGAGUCCUUUACUUGCUUACCAUCAACCAUCCAGAUGUUUGAUAUUUAAUCAAAGCAAUUGGAUAGUGGACGGAAUUUUACUUUUCAUUCAGUUAUUUGGAAUAGUCAAUAAUAUGCAGUUUGCCAAAUCUUGGGAGAAAAUUCUUUUGCCCUCCAAAUUUAUUUCCAAGUGGCAGGAGAGAAUUUGGAAGUAAUCAAGAGGUUGUUUGGGGAAAGUAAAGUAUAAGAUGGCCAAAUCUUCUUCGUUUCACAGAGAGUUACCUUGGGUAAAUUCGUUUAUGACAAGAUACUUUCACUACUUGAUAAGAUUCUUAUUUUUUCUUACUUUGCCGGAGGACCUCAUUGUUCUUGAACUUUUGAGAAAAGACAGUGUGUUAGCUUAAGAAGCAGAUUCUAAGAUGGGAUCAAAUGAACAAGGAUUUAAUUAGGGGAAACACCUGUGAGAGAAAAUGGGCAAGGAACUGGUAAGGUUGGGAGCACCAUCAGAUGGCAAAACCAUCUGCCCAAGCAAAGGGAGGGGGAAGGAAGGUUGGCUGAAAGCAUAUUAGACUGCUGUGCUGUCUAGGGAGGUUCAGCAAAGCCAAUGAGGAGGCCUGGGGCCAAAUUGGCUGUUGGAGGAGUGCCAUGUCUCCCAGGAAUGAGACUGCCUUAGUAUCCCCGUCACACCCAGAUUGUGGGGGCAGCUUGCGGGAAGUGAGGUCUGGGUGCAAAUGUGAUAGCGGACUUCAGACUGCAGCCUCUGGGUUAAUCACACUCCCUGGAGUUGGAAGUCUUUGGUGCAGUCUCAUGGCAGGGAGAAAUGGUAAUUUCAUUAGGAUAUAGAUUAGCUGUAAUAAGAGACCCCAGAAUACAGUGGCUUACGCAAGAUAGAAUUUUAUUUCUCUCUCAAAUUGGGAUUUCAGGCUGGAUAUUGGGGAGCCAGGCUCCUUCUAGCCUGUUGCUCUAUCAUCCUAGCACCUUACCCUUAUUCACAUAAUGGGCGGAGCACAAGAUGGCUCCCGGUGUCUGCAUUGCAGCCAACUGGAUAGAGGAGAGCAAGGAAGGGUGGCAAGCACCUUUCCCUUGAAGGACAUGAG